AUACUAGUCUGGCAGGGGAGAUACCAUGAUCAUGAAGGGGGUUUUCCUAGGGUGAGUCUCAUCCAUUGCCCUGGGGGUGGGCUGAUCCCUGCGAUUUCCCCAAAGGGGGGAAACUCGUCUGUAGAAUCCGGGGGGGGGCUGCGUGCGCGCUCCCGCG